AAAAGAAAAAUAAUUUUUAUUCCCCUAGUAGCGGCGAGCGAAAAGGGAAGAGCCCAAACCGCGUUAAUCUCGCAAGAGAUUUUACGCGGGGUUGUAAGGAGGUAGUGUCAGGAGCAAUCCUGAAGGAGAUUAAUAAGACGAAUAUUGGUUAGAAGAAUGUCCCUGGAAAGGGCAGCCAGAGAAGGUAAUAGCCCUGUACUUGAAAAUCUAUUCGUACUCCUUGCUAUCUUACUUGAGUAUCUUGAGGAAAGAAAACCUUGAGAGAAACAGGCCGAACUAUUGGCCAAGGCUAAAUACUCAAUAUCUCCGAUAGUGAACUAGUACCGUGAGGGAAAGGUGAAAAGUAGGGGGGUGACCCCGGUGAAAUAGAACCUGAAACCAUUCUGCCCACAAGGAGUCAGAGUCCGCCCUCGGGCGGAUGAUGGCGUGCCUAUUGAAGAAUGAGCCAACGAGUGUCCGUAGGCAGCUAGCUAAUCUCUUCUGGAGAGAAGCUGAAGCGAAAGCAAGUAUUAAAAGUGCAUCUUUUAAGUUGUUUGCGGACGACCCGAAGCCAAGCGAGCUUGCCAUGGCCAGGGUGAACUCCGUAGAAAUACGGAAGGAGGCCCGAACCCGUGAGCCGUGCAAUACUCUGGGAUGAGCUGUGGUAAGGAGUGAAAAGCUAAUCGAGCUUGGUAAUAGCUGGUUCUCCCCGAAAUAGCUUUAGGGCUAGCUUUCUGUGAAUGUUUCUGGGGGUAGAGCACUGAAUGGGAUUUCUUGGGCUUUGCUCGGACUUUCCAAUCAAACUCCAAAUACCAGAAAUUUAUGCAGAAGAGUCAGACUGUGGGGGCUAAGCUCCAUGGUCAAAAGGGAAACAGCCCAGAUCUUAAUCUAAGGUCCCUAAAUUUAAGCUAAGUGUUCUUAAGGAAGUGAUAUUCCUCUGAUAGCUAGGAGGUUAGCUCAGAAGCAGCUAUCCUUUAAAAAGUGCGUAACAGCUUACUAGCUAAGGAAUUUCGCGCCGAAGAUUUACGGGACUAAAGCUUAAUACCGAAGAUAAGACCCUUCACCUUAUUUAUAAGGUGAGGGGGGUAGGGGAGCGUCCCUCACCUGUUGAAGCUAAACUGUAAGGUUUAGUGAAAGGUGCGGGAGUGAGAAUGUUGGCAUGAGUAACCGCAAUUCCGACAAGAUCUCGGAACACCGAAAACCUAAGGGUUCCUUGGCAAUGACAAUCAUCCAAGGGUUAGGCGGGCCUAAUCCGUUUACCGAAAGGUAAACGAGAGAUGGACAGCCGGUUAAUAUUCCGGCCCCGUUGCUUAUUUCAAACAGUGACGCAGAUGACUAGUCUGAAGGGAUUAUUGGAUUUCCCCACUCUCCGCCACGGCGGAGGGGUUUCAGACAAAUCAACUGCCCAGAAAAGCUGGGAGAGCCAAGUAAGCAAUGACCGUACCGAAAACCGACACAGGUAGGUUGGUAUAAGAGUACUAAGGUGAACGAGUGAAAGCUCCUGAAGGAACUCGGCAAAAAAGCAGGCGUAACUUUGGGAUAUGCCUUUCCCCCACCAAUUUUGCUUUGAAAAACACGCAAAACUUGAUAUUACAAUAAAAUUUGCAAUACAAGUGCGGCACUGUGCCCGAAUAGGGCAGGGCUAUUCGCCCUUGUGCCGCCGUGAAUUUGACGGCAAAAUUGGUGGGGGACGCAGCUAAAGUACCCCUGGCGACUGUUUACCAAAAACACAAGUCUCUGCUUAAUUCGUAAGAAGAUGUAUAGAGGCUGAGGCCUGACCAGUGCUGGAACGUUAACAGCGGCGGUUAUCUUAUUUCGGUAAGAUAGCUAACUGCUCGAAGCGCCAGUGAACGUCGGCGAUAACUAUAAUCGUCCAAAGGUAGCGUAACCUCUUGCCAGGUAAGUUCUGGCCCGCAUGAAAGGCCUAACGACUGGGGGACUGUCUCCAGGAGCAGCUCGGUGAAAAUGCAGUACCGGUAAAGAUGCCGGUUACCUGCGGCUAGACGGAAAGACCCCGGGAGCUUUACUAUAGUUAGACAUUGGGUUUUGGUUUUAGAUGCGUAGCGUAGGCGGGAGACUUUGAAAUCCGCCUUUUGGGGCGGAUGGAGUCGUCAAUGAAACACCGCUCUUUUAAAAUCUUAAUCCUAAUCCUUCAACUUUGUUCAGGAUACAGUGUUUAAUGGGUAGUUUAAGUGGGGCACUUUUCUCCUAAAAGGUAAUGGAGAAGUUUAAAGGUCAGCUAGCUCCGGAUGGAAAUCGGAGUGGUCGUGUAAAGGCACAAGCUGGCUUUACUGCAAGCAGUAUAUUGCGCGCAGUUGGGAAACCAGAACUUAGUGAACCGACGAAUUUUUUAUAGAAAAUUCGGAGAUUAUCAGCUAAAAGUUACCCCGGGGACAACAGGCUAGUAGGGCCCGCGAGUCCACAUCAACGGCCCUGUUCGGCACCUCGAUGUCGGCUCAACGCAUCCUGGGGGUGAAGCAGCUCCCAAGGGCAUGGCUGUUCGCCAUUUAAAGCGUUACGUGAGCUGGGUUCAAACCGUCGUGAGACAGGUUGGUCCCUAUCUACCGCAGGCGUUGAAUCUUGAGGGGAUUUGGUUCUAGUACGAGAGGAUCGAACUGAACUGACCUCUGGUCUACCAGCUGUUCUGCCAAGAGCACUGCUGGGUAGCUAAGUCGGGAAGGGAUAAGCGCUGAAAGCAUCUAAGCACGAAACCCACCCCAAGAUUAGGAUUCCUGCCUGCCGUCAGGCAGGCAUAGAUUGGUCGGAGAAGACGACCUUGAUAGGCUGCAAGUGUAAGCCCGGUAACGGGUUUAGCUGAGCAGUACUAAUAAAUCAUAAUUUCUAUUUGA
rfam:Parcubacteria bacterium DG_72 WOR1_52_54_1888, whole genome shotgun sequence.